GUUUGAUGGCUAUGGGAGACAGUUUCCAAGGAGACAGUGACCUACUGUGAGAUGGCUUGUAGAGGUUUGUUUCAGAAUAAGGGAUGGAGUUAAUCAGUCCUGCUGGUUCAGUACAUAGGGCACACACCAUAGUGGGUCUGGCCCCUGAGCUGUCCAUGAGGACCUUUAAUACAGUGGCCAGAGUCCCCCAUGCAAUGUAUGUGUGUUAACAACUGUCCUAUGUACAUUUCCUGGGGAAGACUAGCCCAGUCUUGAAAGCAUUGGGACUCUAUAAACACACAAGUGUUGGCUCCCACAACUUGUUCAGGGCCUGAUGCCACAGACGAGGACGUUCAUGCUUUUCUUCUGUAGACUCAAAGCUGAGGGAGAAAAGAUCCCACCGGAAAAUGAACUGAGGCCUGUGUAGAGGACAGAGUACCUCAAGGGAGCCCAGCACGGAAAGGCUGCCUUCUUGGUCUCCAGAUCCAUCUUAACCUGGUGGCAUAUAGGCCUUCCUCGGUGAGAAAGGAGAGACAAAGACAAAAGACUGGAUGAGUUAGAUCAUACAGCUGCUCAGAAGAAUUGGAUUAAAUUGAAAGACUAUUUCUACUUAACGAGGAUGAGAGCAAGAAACAUGAAAAAAUUAAGCCACCAAUAAAAUUCACAAUGAUAUCCACCAAUACAACAGCCA